rnacentral:rRNA from 1 species
AUUGAACGCUGGCGGCAGGCCUAACACAUGCAAGUCGAGCGGUAGCACAGAGAGCUUGCUCUCGGGUGACGAGCGGCGGACGGGUGAGUAAUGUCUGGGAAACUGCCUGAUGGAGGGGGAUAAUUACUGGAAACGGUAGCUAAUACCGCAUAACGUCGCAAGACCAAAGAGGGGGACCUUCGGGCCUCUUGCCAUCAGAUGUGCCCAGAUGGGAUUAGCUAGUAGGUGGGGUAACGGCUCACCUAGGCGACGAUCCCUAGCUGGUCUGAGAGGAUGACCAGCCACACUGGAACUGAGACACGGUCCAGACUCCUACGGGAGGCAGCAGUGGGGAAUAUUGCACAAUGGGCGCAAGCCUGAUGCAGCCAUGCCGCGUGUAUGAAGAAGGCCUUCGGGUUGUAAAGUACUUUCAGCGGGGAGGAAGGUGUUGUGGUUAAUAACCACAGCAAUUGACGUUACCCGCAGAAGAAGCACCGGCUAACUCCGUGCCAGCCGCCGCGGUAAUAC